CCUACGGGGUGCAGCAGUAGGGAAUUUUCGGCAAUGGGGGGAACCCUGACCGAGCAACGCCGCGUGAACGAAGAAGUUAUUCGUAAUGUAAAGUCCUUUUAAUAGGGAAGAAAGAGAAAUUUGAUGGUACCUGAAGAAUAAGCCCCGGCUAACUACGUGCCAGCAGCCGCGGUAAUAAGUAGGGAGCGAGCGUUAUCCGGAAUUAUUGGGCGUAAAGGGUGCGUAGAUGGCAUAGUAAGUCUUUUGUAAAAACGCUGGGCUCAACCCAGUAGGGCAAAAGAUACUGUAAGGCUAGAGUAUGACAGAGGCAAGUGGAACUACAGGUGUAGCGGUAAAAUGCGUAAAUA
rnacentral:rRNA from 1 species